GUCUACGGCUGUGCUACCCUGAACAAGCCCGAUCCUGUUUGAUCUUGGCAGCUAAGCAGUACUAACCAGGUCGGGCCUGGUUAGUACUUGGAUGGGAGACCACCUAGGAAGACCAGGUGCUGUAGGUG
rnacentral:rRNA from 1 species